UCUGCAGGCUUCGAGCCC
rnacentral:misc_RNA from 1 species